rnacentral:rRNA from 1 species
AGAUUAAUUUAAAAAACUAGGAUUAGAUACCCUAUUAUAUUAAUUUAGAAAAUAAAUUAAUUAUUAAAUGUUAAUCAUUAAAAUUAUAAAAUAUGGCAGUUAUAUAAAAUUUUAGGGGAAUUUGUAAAUUAAUUUGAUAGUCCACGAUAAGAAAUACUAAUAAUAAUAUAUAUAUAUAUAUAUAUAUAAAUUAUUUUUGUAUUGUUGUUUAAAAAUUUUUUAUGAAUAUAAGGAUUGAUAUUUUUAUAUUAAAAAAUAAUUCAAAUCAAAAUAAAGUAUUUAUUAGGAAAUUAUGAAUUACAUUAAUAAAAAAUUUUAUGAAUUAGAAUUUUUAAUAUUUAUAAUAAAAAGGAUUUAAAAGUAAAAUUAUUUAUUUUAAUAGUUUGAAUUUUUUUUAUAUAAUGUACAAAUUGCCCGUCAAUUUCAAUAAAAUUUGAAGUAAGUCGAAACAAAGUAAGAGUAUUGGAAAAUGUUCUUAGAAUAAA